CAUUAAGCCACCACCAAAUUAGACUAGCUCCAAAGAUAAAUUGCCCUUUCCCUCCAUGGUGUCUGAAAGCACAUUAGCGAGUGCUAGUCCAUUAAGACAGGCCUAGGCGGUACAUUGGCC